UACGUAGGUGGCAAGCGUUGUCCGGAAUUAUUGGGCGUAAAGCGCGCGCAGGCGGCCUCUUAAGUCUGAUGUGAAAGCCCACGGCUCAACCGUGGAGGGUCAUUGGAAACUGGGGGGCUUGAGUGCAGAAGAGGAGAGCGGAAUUCCACGUGUAGCGGUGAAAUGCGUAGAGAUGUGGAGGAACACCAGUGGCGAAGGCGGUUCUCUGGUCUGUAACUGACGCUGAGGCGCGAAAGCGUGGGGAGCGAACAGG
rnacentral:rRNA from 1 species